AGAGUUUGAUCAUGGCUCAGAGUGAACGCUGGCAGCAGGCCUAAUACAUGCAAGUCGAACGGCAGCACAGCAGAGCUUGCUCUGUGGGUGGCGAGUGGCGGACGGGUGAGGAAUACGUGGGAAUCUGCCCAGUCGUGGGGGAUAACGUAGGGAAACUUACGCUAAUACCGCAUGCGCCCUUCGGGGGAAAGCCGGGGACCUUCGGGCCUGGCGCGAUUGGAUGAGCCCACGUCGGAUUAGCUAGUUGGCGGGUAAAGGCCCACCAAGGCGACGAUCCGUAGCUGGUCUGAGAGGAUGAUCAGCCACACUGGAACUGAGACACGGUCCAGACUCCUACGGGAGGCAGCAGUAGGGAAUAUUGGACAAUGGGCGCAAGCCUGAUCCAGCCAUGCCGCGUGAGUGAAGAAGGCCCUCGGGUUGUAAAGCUCUUUUGUCCGGAAAGAAAAGCGCCGGGUUAAUACCCUGGUGUCCUGACGGUACCGGAAGAAUAAGCACCGGCUAACUUCGUG
rnacentral:rRNA from 1 species